CCAGGAGCUCCUUCAGUGGUUGUCGCUGUUACUAAGUGUGUUUUGUCUUCAAAGGAAUUCCUUGUUGACGCAUACUCAUUUAAAAAUGAAAAUUUUGGAUGGUAACUUUUAAGAAGUGCGAUAUAUUUUAUAUGUACAUUUCAACAUAAGAUGGACCUUUGACCUCUAUCUUAUGACCUUGCAGUAGUUGUAAAAAGUAUUUGUGUGAUGAUAGACGCACUAAAUCGACCAAGACAGAUUCUCAAUUCAAGAAUGAAAAGAAAAAGCAGCUUACUUGAAGGUGGUCCUGUUGGAUGUGUUUAAAGUGACAGAAAUUGCAUGGAAACAAAGUACUAGGGAAAUACGUGAACUGCCUUCAUUUUGUUAUUUUGAAUAAUACAAAAGAAUAAAGACAUCCGAGACAGAUGUAAAAUGUUUAACAAACAGUUUCGUCGGCAGCAAGUCUGUAGAAAACGACACUAAACGUCACCAUCGCUAUAUCAACAAUUGUGUUUAUACAAAGAAUAGUCCCCCUUUAACGUAGUAUUAGCUAUUUCCGAUCUGACUUUCAUAGUAUCGUAUGUAUGCCAGUAUUUUAUGCGCAUAAUUAAUUUUAUUACGCACAGUAAUUAUAUAAUUAUAUACAAAAUCGCAUAUUUUACAUGAUAUUUUAGUGUUUUUUAAAUGAUGAUUUGACAUUUUAUACUGCAAUUUAAAAUAGAUUUACACUGAUUGUCUUAAAGAUAAUUAUUUUAUAGAUGUAGCAAUUUCCUACCGAAAAGAUCAACGCUAACAUCUCUUCAGUUGCAUGAGAUUUUAGACGUUUAAAUGUUUUUUUCUUAAAAUUGUUUAAAAAAUAAAUGUAAUAAAGAAAAUAAUGAUAAAAACGAUAACGAAAAACCUAGCUGUUAACAACGAUCAGUUUGAGAUAUUUUUCUUGUGUGUAUGCUAACCGUUUAAUAUCAAAGAAACCAUAUUUAUUGCAGUAUGACGACCUGUUCUGGACUAACUUUCGUCGAGAAAAAGUUAUAACCAAAACUUUUGAAAGUUAGAUAUGUUUUAUUAAAAACUAUUUGAUUAAAGGGGGCUUGUAGCAAUUGCCAAAAUAUCACUGGUAAAUUUUCCUCUAUUUGUUUUGUAAAUCUAUUUGUUCUGCCCAUCAAAAAAUUUGUUCUGCCCAUCAAAAAAUCUAUAGUUCAACACAUGUCCUGGUAUCUUACAAAAUUUUCUUUACAAAGGACCGUAAAACCCAUAACGUCUUAUAAUGUGCAUUGUUUUUGUAUAGUCCCCCCUCCCCCAUAAAAAGCUAAUACAAAUAUAUGGAAUGAAUUGAAUUAGAAUACAUUUGUUUCUCCCUAUAUUCUGAAUCAAAACAUAAUUAUUCAUUUUAAACCAAACAUAUAAUUUGGUACGCCAUACGCGUCUUUCUUCUAUAUAAGACUCAUUAGCCCUCGAAGUUGGAAGGUCAACCGAAAAACAAAGUUGCAGAGCAUUAAAAAACCGAAAAAUCCAAGUUGUGCCAAAUACGGAUAGAUUAAACACACUCGAGAAUGAAGUUCUCACUACUAUGCACUGUUUGUCAAUGAGAAUAAAGCUAGUCAUUCGUCUA